rnacentral:rRNA from 1 species
GACGAACGCUGGCGGCGUGCUUAACACAUGCAAGUCGAACGGAAAGGCCCUGCUUUUGUGGGGUGCUCGAGUGGCGAACGGGUGAGUAACACGUGAGUAACCUGCCCUUGACUUUGGGAUAACUUCAGGAAACUGGGGCUAAUACCGGAUAGGAGCUCCUGCUGCAUGGUGGGGGUUGGAAAGUUUCGGCGGUUGGGGAUGGACUCGCGGCUUAUCAGCUUGUUGGUGGGGUAGUGGCUUACCAAGGCUUUGACGGGUAGCCGGCCUGAGAGGGUGACCGGCCACAUUGGGACUGAGAUACGGCCCAGACUCCUACGGGAGGCAGCAGUGGGGAAUAUUGCACAAUGGGCGGAAGCCUGAUGCAGCAACGCCGCGUGCGGGAUGACGGCCUUCGGGUUGUAAACCGCUUUCGCCUGUGACGAAGCGUGAGUGACGGUAAUGGGUAAAGAAGCACCGGCUAACUACGUGCCAGUAGCCGCGGUGAUACGUAGGGUGCGAGCGUUGUCCGGAUUUAUUGGGCGUAAAGGGCUCGUAGGUGGUUGAUCGCGUCGGAAGUGUAAUCUUGGGGCUUAACCCUGAGCGUGCUUUCGAUACGGGUUGACUUGAGGAAGGUAGGGGAGAAUGGAAUUCCUGGUGGAGCGGUGGAAUGCGCAGAUAUCAGGAGGAACACCAGUGGCGAAGGCGGUUCUCUGGGCCUUUCCUGACGCUGAGGAGCGAAAGCGUGGGGAGCGAACAGGCUUAGAUACCCUGGUAGUCCACGCUGUAAACGGUGGGUACUAGGUGUGGGGUCCAUUCCACGGGUUCCGUGCCGUAGCUAACGCUUUAAGUACCCCGCCUGGGGAGUACGGCCGCAAGGCUAAAACUCAAAGGAAUUGACGGGGCCCCGCACAAGCGGCGGAGCAUGCGGAUUAAUUCGAUGCAACGCGUAGAACCUUACCUGGGUUUGACAUGGAUCGGGAGUGCUCAGAGAUGGGUGUGCCUCUUUUGGGGUCGGUUCACAGGUGGUGCAUGCCUGUCGUCAGCUCGUGUCGUGAGAUGUUGGGUUAAGUCCCGCAACGAGCGCAACCCUUGUUCACUGUUGCCAGCACGUUAUGGUGGGGACUCAGUGGAGACCGCCGGGGUCAACUCGGAGGAAGGUGGGGAUGACGUCAAGUCCUCAUGCCCCUUAUGUCCAGGGCUUCACGCAUGCUACAAUGGCUGGUACAGAGAGUGGCGAGCCUGUGAGGGUGAGCGAAUCUCGGAAAGCCGGUCUCAGUUCGGAUUGGGGUCUGCAACUCGACCUCAUGAAGUCGGAGUCGCUAGUAAUCGCAGAUCAGCAACGCUGCGGUGAAUACGUUCCCGGG